GCCCUUUGGUUUCACCUGCACAAGUGCCAAGGUGAGUUGACAGGAACAGAAGAAGAAUAGGAAAUGGACAGGUACUUGUACAGGGCUUUUCUACUCUAAAUGAACACUCAAAGCACUUUUUAGUACAAGCCAUUCACCCACACAUAGGAACACUCAUAUAGUUUUUCAUGUGCACACUCACAAUUUCAAUGGCUGCAUCAAGGGCGACUCGAGAUUCAGUAACUUGCCCAAUACUUCAACAUGCAGAAUAGUCAGGAAUCGCUCUGCUGACUUUCCAAUUGAUAGACCACCUAUCUCCUGAACCACAGCCACCCUGAAAGAAAAGGAGAAAUGCUUUGUUUAUCCCAAAAGUGGAGAAACCCCUGUGGUACAGCAUCUAAAUAUUAUGCAAUAAGGAGCUUAAAAUGAGUGAAAGAACAUGAUUGAUGAUUUGUUUAAAUAUCAACCCCACAUGCAGAUUUCUGCAGACUAAUGCAAGUAAUAACAGAUUAGUACAUCUAAUGUGAUUACUGGAUUUAUUAUAGCAAUGUAUUACAUUAGUUUGUUACAAAAAAAUCACAGAGGGGAUUACACUAGGGGUUUCCUUUGGAAGUUCCAAUCCUACUGAUACCAUACAAUUAGUUAUUGAAGUUUGGUGCCUGCAUCAUCCCGAGAGUCUUACUUUCUGGCUUUCCUCACUAAAAAUAUUCAAUUCUUGAAAUUGAGCAUUUUCAUUUUGGUGGUCCUAAACAUAAAGUUUAAAGAUAGAAAAAGUUAUGCUUUUUAAAAUUAAUAAACAUAAAUUGAGGGUUGAUAAGUAAUUGUGCCUCUCAGAGCAUACAGUUGUAUGGGUUGGAUGUCAGAGAGGUUAAAACAGCAGAGGAGCACUGGCACUGAUAUAUCUGAGGGCAGAAAUCUGAAGCUUAGAUAGACCAUAAAAUUAAGGGGGCUCAUCCAUCUAUCCAUCAUCUUUCUUGUUUCUGGGUCUGGGUUGCAGGAGCAGUAGUUUUUGCAGAGAUGCCCAAGCCUAUGUCUCACCAGCCACCUCCUCCCAUUCUUCCUUGAGAUGCCAAGUUAUUCCCAGUCCACCACUGUCACAUCAUGUGUCUAGUGUAUAAUGGAUCUGGCCUCCUGGGCUGCUCUCAGUAAGAUAUGCCAGAAACACCUCAUCUAAGAGGUGUCCUAGUAAAAUGCCCAAACCACCUCAACUGGCUCCUUUAGUUCUGGAGGAGCAGCUCUGAGAUCCUUAAAGAUGACCAAGCAACUCCCCCUACCUCUUUAACUUGCAUCAAUGAUUUAAUUCUUUCACCACAUGCAUAACCAUAGGUGACAUAUCUGAGGUAUCUGUGUUUUGAGACCAAAGGAGAGGAACGACUUGUAUUUACAAUCUUGUUCUUUCUGUCAGUACCCAAAGUUCUUAUAGAAGAUAAGAAUGUAGAUACACAUGUUUACUUGUGUGUUUAUUCUAUUUAUUAUCACUUAAGAGAGUAUUAUGUGAACUUACAUUUAUUUCUUAGAGACUAAUCCUAACCUGUACCUCACCUCUGUUUGGUGAUUUACAUAAUGAGGAUUUAUUAUCUGCUCCCAAAAGGAAGGCGAGUCUCCAUUAUGGGACUGUCUAAACAGAUGUACGUCCCCACCAAAUUAUAAAAUUAUAGACUCACACAUGUAAGUGCUGAAAAUCACAGAAUGAGCAUUAGGAUAAUAACAGGGUUCUAGCAUCCAAAAUUAUAAAAGGCUGCUUCCUUAAGGAUGUCAGGCUGAGAGAGUAUAGAGUGAGAUAUGCCCACAGUGAGUGCUGAUAAAACUCACUAGCACUUGGCAGGAACGAAGGUGGCAAAGGUGCUCUAUAAUGAAUAAGAGGCAGACUUACUCCUUUAAAUCAACUAAUGGUGCUUGUAUGCCUGUACUCAUAGAAGUGUGUCUUAUCUGUCUUGUCUUCUGACAGCAGUAAGGCAGGCAGACCAGUUCAUUAUCACAUGUUUUAAUAUUUAAUUUUGAGAUUUGAUAAAAAAAAAAAGGAUGAUUCUUUAAUGAGGUGAUCCAUCCCUGGCUAUCAAGAGUCAUCUAAACCAGGGCAGCUCUGCGAUAUCAAAACUUCUUCUCAUCUUUGGUUUACUCUGAGUGGUUGCCUUGGUUGGAACUGGUCACAUAUCUCCUUCCAUCGCGCUGCUAUUUCUGCCCAUGCCAGUCGCUCCAGGAUGGCUGCUCUGAGAGGAGUGCUUUGAAGAGCUGUCCAGGUGAGAGCUUGGCAAAGGCAGAGCUUUUCUGCUCUUUCACAACACAGAGUGCCCUUCAGGGACUCAAAUUGCCCUGCAGUGUUAUGGAUAAUACUCCUAGCCACACAAAAAUCACACACACAGACACAUGCCCAAGAACUCCAUUUACAGCUUUCUCUGCAUGUGCACAAAGGAUAUGCACACACUCUUACAAGCAGACACUUACUCAUACACACGCUUAGUUGUUCACAUAUUAAAAUAGCAAGUUGGACUAACAAAAGAGGAAGACAAUUACUCUGGCAUGAAACUUUCCCUUGGUACCAUUUCAAACCUUAAAAAAAUAUAAUAAAAAAAAAAAGAAUUAAGCACUCUGUUUAAUUUUUCUCUCUGGACUUUAGUUCUUCUCUCCACCUUUCUUCUCAUCUUCCUUUAAUUUCAGCUCCCUUUCCUAAUCAGCGGAAACAUAACCAGGCUACAGACCAUAUGAGACCAUAUGUUCCAGUGUGUGUAUAUGUGUAAUUAUGUGUGUCCAAUUUGGUGUGCUGUUCUAUUCAAAGAUGCUGAGGAGAGGCAAUGAUGGUGCAGAGAAAACUUAACUCAUCUCUUGACAGAACCUUACAGGUACCACCACAAUGCACUAAAUGUUAAUUCCAAAAGCUGCUGCUCUCUCUGCUCUCUUUCUAAAUGUCUCAAAUGACAGAUGUGUGUCUAUAUGUGUGUGUGUGUGUCUGUAAGGACUGACGUUAUCUCACAGGACAGGGCUUUAUUUUCUAUGCCCCUGCAUGUCUCUUCUUCUAACAGAAGAAACCAGCUUCACCACAAUGUUAGUUUUUUUUUAGUUUUUUCCCCCUAUAAUAUUAGAAAGUAUGGGAAAGUGUUUGUCUCUGUAAUGAAACCCAAGCUGCUUUCUUGCUUCACAAAACUUUGUAAGCCACCAAGUCAGCUAUGGCUAUUUAUACUUUGUAUAUCUUGGUAACAUUUUGAUGAAUAAAUAAA